rnacentral:rRNA from 1 species
GGGUCAGUGGCGCAGGCUACACAUGCAGUCGAACGGUAACAGGAAGCAGCUUGCUGCUUCGCUGACGAGUGGCGGACGGGUGAGUAAUGUCUGGGAAACUGCCUGAUGGAGGGGGAUAACUACUGGAAACGGUAGCUAAUACCGCAUAACGUCGCAAGACCAAAGAGGGGGACCUUCGGGCCUCUUGCCAUCGGAUGUGCCCAGAUGGGAUUAGCUAGUAGGUGGGGUAACGGCUCACCUAGGCGACGAUCCCUAGCUGGUCUGAGAGGAUGACCAGCCACACUGGAACUGAGACACGGUCCAGACUCCUACGGGAGGCAGCAGUGGGGAAUAUUGCACAAUGGGCGCAAGCCUGAUGCAGCCAUGCCGCGUGUAUGAAGAAGGCCUUCGGGUUGUAAAGUACUUUCAGCGGGGAGGAAGGCGAUAAGGUUAAUAACCUUGUCGAUUGACGUUACCCGCAGAAGAAGCACCGGCUAACUCUGUGCAGCAGCCGCA